rnacentral:lncRNA from 1 species
GUGUUUGCAGAUAUGGAACAUCACAGUUCCUUGAAACACCAUAGAUGACACUCCAUUGUGUAUUCUGUAGUUCAGUGUAGCUUCUAAAUUUCCAUGCACCUGGAAAGUUCGAGCGUCAAUUUUCCAUUUCAAACGGUUAGUUGCUUCUCCAGAGCUGACAUUGAAAGGUAUUUCUUAUUUUAUUUUUUUUUCUUCUCAUUUCCUUGUUCUAAUUAUUCAUUUUAUGUUACUGCAAUUGUUUAACUAAUCAGUCAAUGCCUAUAUUUUGGUUUUGUUUUUUUUUUUUUUUUUUUUCUCCUCUUCUCUUUCAUAGCUUUAUAUUUAUAAAUUUGAUUCAGUUGGAAAAUUUGUGAAAUGCUUCAGUCAAUAGAUAAAACAAGAUCGCCUAGUAAUGCUUUAUCUACUAACGUAUAUAAAGCUGCACGAACCUGAAAAUUAGUCCGGAAUUCCAGUGAAUUCAUGAUUUAGUACAAUGUGUUUGGAAGUGCUAUUUACUUUAAUGUUUAUAUGUUGAGAGUACAAACAGAAAAAGAAAAAAACAGAACAAAACUAAAUAAUGCCAUGUGCUUGAUUUUUUGGCAGCAGAUACACCUUUGGUAUGCUUCAGAACUGGAGAUAGAGCGAUUCCUUAGAAUUUGUUAUUUGGUAGACAAGGAAUUCAAGUUUUUUCUUAUACUUGAAUAGUUUCAAAUUUAGUAGAAAUUAUAUCUAUUUAUGUGUAUGAUUUUUGGGAUACAUCCAACUUUGUUUAGUCAUCUCAAACAUAGUUUCUGAAUUGGAUUCUUGGGAUACAUUCAUUUUCCUUCCCAUUUCAAGGCGUACUAAACGUGGCGAUGCCUUUUUUCUUUUUUGUUGUUGGUGCUGUUAGCUUGUUAGGAUCCAAACUUGGUGUUAGUAGGAAUUAGUAUCAAAUAAUACUCAAGUCACAUAUCUAGGACCCCAGAUGCACCCUUGUAUCUCCACUAAGUCUCUCAUUUAAAUGCCACAAAACUUAAAAGAGAUUAUUAUGAAGGGUGUCCACUUUCAGCAUAAAACUUUUAAUGGCUAAAGGUGGGUUUGCAAUGAGUUUUAUAAAAAGUUCUUGAUGGAAAAAAAUGUGAAUGAAAGAUCCCACGGAAUUGAAUUGGGUCCAUGAAAGACACUCUCUCAAAUAAGACAGAAAAGACAGCAGAAGAGUCCUAGUUUGGUCACUUCACAGCAAUGGGAAAGGUGGGAGACAAUCUUGUUCCACCAUGUUGAUUUUAAACCCUACAUUAGAUCUUCGGUCAAAGCACUUUUCAUUACAAAAGCUUUUUAUUGGCUAUCCAAUUUGCUUGAUUAAGAAUUUACAGUUGUAUAUAGCAUCCUAGUCUAUCCCUCAUCAAAGAUUGAGAAGAAAUCUCUGUAGCAUUAAUUCCUGUAGUCUUAGAGCUAAUCACAAAACAGUAUCUUCUUUUCCCACAAAAGAAAGAUAUUUUAACAGUGAAAAAUUCUUGAAUAUCUGUCUAAUUUUAAUUUAUUUCGUGGUGACCAUGAUGAUCAAUAUUUUCUAAAUGAAGAAACAGAGACAUCUCUAAUGGACAUUAUUAACCUCUCAAUUUUUGUAUAAUCUGUGUAAUCAUGUUAUUAAGGGGUCUUUCAAAAUUUAUAUUGUUGACACAGAACCUUUUUGUUGCAUGUUUGAGCUGCAAGUUUGACCUGUGAUUCUGGGGUGCAUGAUUCAUCAUGUCCAAAUUAGACAUGACCUUUUACUCCCCUUUGUUUGCUCCAAUCUUUAUCAUGCAGUAAGCUAAAAAAUUAUGUUUAAUGCUGAUUGCUGAAGUUGUAGUGAAAUGGCAAAUCAUCACUAACACAUCAAGCUUAUUUUAGGUCUUUUGGUCUUUUCAACCAACUUUUAAUCAUGGCAAAUAUCGUUCCUGAUACUACCCCUAGCAUUAGAAAUUGCCAAGCAUUCUGUACCUAUGAUUACUACAUGCUUAUAUUGACUUCAUUAAAUCUUCAGGAAAACAAUGGAGUUUAUUGGAAAGUCAAAGCAAUUGAACUAUGGGGGAUAUACAAGAACUGAAGAAAGAGACAAGCACAUUGAAUGGAACAGUAGACAGACACACUAUAUAGGCCAUUAUUACUGUGUAUAUCUGUUAAUGAGCAAUUGUUCACUGUUACUGUAGUUUUACAUUCAAUGUAUUAAAUUACUGCGAUGUCAUAAUGUAUGCGUACUUGUUGAAAGUGUCAGUAUCAUCAAAUUCAUUGUACCUGAUCGUAUGGAAAUUGCAGCAGCACUGACUGGUACCUCUUUCAGUUUCCCUGUGUAGAUGUUUAUCAAAAGUUUGUUGUAUAUAGAAAAUUAAAUAUAUUAGAAUUAGUUGUCAAAUUAACGAUUCUCUUCUUGUCAGCUGGAGCAUUUCUUCAUGUGCUUUUGGUUUGCUUUACCUGUAAAUAACAUGAACAAGAAAUGUGCAGGUUAGAUUUUAUGAAAAAAUUUCUGUUUUUAUAUUAGUUUGAUACUAAUGAUCACAAUCUUUUUUUCUACUUCAGGCACUCUUCAGUCUUCAUGAUACUGAUGAGGCUGUUUCUAAUCCACCAAAUUAGGAGGCGAAUGAGGAUUGCGAUUCUGAGCGUGCAUGUGCAUGUGUGUAUGUGAAGGACUGAAGGGGUGAGGCAAAGCAU